UUGCGCUGAUGACUACUUAGGACACCAUUGAUUUGUCUAUGAAAUUUUAAAAUCUCUGAGCAAU